rnacentral:lncRNA from 1 species
UGAGAGCACGAUUUUAUAUCCGGGACUUGAAUUUGCCCCCCAUUAGCUAGCUGCGUUCCCAAUUUUUAAACUCGAUGCCUCCUCUAGUGUUAUUUAUAAUCUCUAUGACCGGAACAGGUAGGCAAUUUGUCGACGCUGACCAAAAAUAGCGGCUCAUUUCUUCUUGAGUUUCCAUUUUCGCGUCGAAGAGCAAAAAUAUAGACUUUCGGAGAAUAUUUUAGCUGUUUACUAUCAAUUAUGUUCGUGAAACAGUUGAUAAUCUUACUGAGGAAGGCCAACGGUUUCUGAAAAGCUAUAGUACGUCGAAAUCAGCUUUGGAAUAGACUAUAUUUUCACCGGGGAAACAUGAACAAAAUGGAUAUUUACAUCAACACUAAAUUUUGCUCGUGCCUACAGAGCUAGUUGGAUUAAAACAGAUGUUAAGAAGUAAGUGAAAAUGUGAACUUUGUGAAUUAUACUUUCAUUAAAAUGUUUCAGAAAGUCUGCUAAUGUCAAACUACACGUAUGACAGAGCUGUCAGUAUACCUACAUUUCAAUGUUUAUGUUGAAAUGACCCAUCUUCUUUGAGGUAUAGCUUAAAAUUUAGGGUAUGCUCAUCACUUGAAACUAACUUUAAAUCAAAGUUUUAUCUAUAGUCUUUAUAGUAGAAUUAAAAUCAUUCAUGGGAAAAAUGUGCCAAAGGGUUGAAAUUGCCCUUGUAAAUGUACACUAUUUUUGACAUGCUUGGGUUAGUAUUUUGAAAAGGUGUUCUGGAAGGGAAAUAUGUCUUGAACAAUACUGGUUGACCCUUAAAUUAUAACUAGUGUUAUGUAAAUCACAGAAAAUUGAAAAAAAUCUGGUACAUACACAAUAUUUUGGACCCUAUGAUGUCCCGAAUGGGGCUUAUUUCAAUGUUGAAUCUGUUUACCUGGAAAAACUUAGAAAAUUGAAUAAGUCAAGAAUUUGACUAUGCUCAUCACCCAAAACCAGGUUUUUCUAAUUGCUUUUUCACCUGGGUUUGUGGCAAUGCCAGUUUUGUGACCAUGAAAAAUGCGCGCGGCACUUUUUUUGGACACUGAAGAUGGUACCAUUUGAUGUUGUCAUAUAUUGCCAUCCUCUUAUCAUAGCACAACUUAACUUAUUUUAGUGAGUUUGUUAAAGAGUUGUGUUCACUAUAUGCUUGUAGUAUAUAAGAUUUUUUCAUAGCAUUAAAUAAUAAAUUUAAGUUCUGUUUUCUUUUAUUUUUAGGUGAUAGUAUCUAUUCACUCCAAUGUUGGUAUCAAAUUUUGGUCAAGUUUCAAUUAUUAUUUCACAUUCCUUUAUUCAAAUAUCCAAAUAAAUGGAAUAUGAUAUCAAGCUGGAGGACUAGAACC